AUACUCACCUAAAAUUAAUAUUUGCAUAUAUACCCUCAUAAAACACUUAUAUUGCAUGUAUACCCUUCUUUUAUUUUUUGUGCAUAUAUACUCACGCCAUCUAACGUCAUAAAAAAUAUUAGCAGUUUAAAAUUGAAAUGAUUGAAAUAUCUUUAAUGGGUAGAUAAGUAAAAAGAAACAUUUAUAAGGAUAUACAUGCAAAUAGCAAUUUUGCGAGAGUAUUCAUACAAUUUCAUACAUUUAGAAGGAUAUACAUAAAAAACUCUAAUUUUAUUUUUGUCUAUUUUAACUUGUUUGACACUCGGCUUAGUCUAAUACUUUCUCCACAGAAAAUAUUGUUUAGGAAAAGAUUGAUUCGAUGAUUAGAUAACAAAGAAGUGAUGUUGUUCUAGUUUAUUCUUCUUCAUUUAUAACAAUCAUUAUAUCUUAUUGAAUCAAGAACUUAUAAUAUUUAUUAUUAUAGAUGCAUAUGUGAGAGCAUGGAUUAGAAUAUAGAAAGGGAUUAGAAUUUCUUGAAAGUACACAACAAGUUGCAUUGAUCAAGCUUCCUUGCUACUGUUGUGCUCAUGUGUGGAAGAACAACAUCAAUCAUUCCAAGCAAAGCCAGUGAAGGACUUCAAAACUCUUCAAACUUUCUAAUAACCUCGCACCAUGUGAUAGAAGGCCACCCCUUACGUUGGGUACCUUAAGCCACUUUUUUUUGGAGCUUUGAUUUUCCGAAAGAAUAAAAGGACCUAGUAUACGGGAUCCAUCUUGUUAUAGUAAUUUUAAAUCAGCCACCUACCUGCACACGAGAAGUUUUCCAACUCUCAAAGAUAAACAUUGCAAAUCUUGCACACUAAAAGAUAACUAUUACAAAUUCCUCACAAUGCAUUCCUUUAAUAAUCUAUAGAGCUAAAAGGUAGGACUUGACUAUCUUCAUGUAACAAAGGAUACAAUAAAGGGAGAACUUUGACGGCAAUGAGAGAGACUUGUAUUCCAAUGGUGAGAACUCCAACGAAAAAGAGAGAGAGAGGUUGCUGAUGGUAGAGAAGGUUGCUGAUGGUUUUGGUUCUGGAUGGAGUGAAAGAGAGGGAUUGAGAGAGAUUGAAAAAUUUGCCAGAGGAGGUAGAGAGAUUAGGGCAAUCUUGAGCAGAAGAGAGAUCACAUGGAAGGAGGGGAAGUUCAAUAGGUCGGGUAAGUUUCCAGUGAAAUCCCUUAACCUAGUACUCGCUUUAGAGAUUAAAAAGAUAACUUUAUAGUUUUAAUCAAUUUUUAAUUUAAAUAAAUACAAUUUUAUCUAAUGAUAUCAGCUGAACCAUUAUGUCAAGUUAUGCAAAAAGUGUUUGUGAGGGUAUGCAUGCAAAUAUUAAUUUUGGAAGGGUGUUCAUACAAAUUUCAAUAUUUAGGCGGAUAUUCAUUCAAAAAAUCUAAGGAUUUUUUUGUAUGUAAAUAUCCUCUUAAAUAUAUGGAAUUGUAUGAAUACCCUUGUCAAAUUGCUAUUUGCAUGUAUAUCUUUAUAAAUGUUUCUUUCUGCAUGUUUUUCUGUGAAGGGUAUUUCAAUCAUUUCAAUUUAAAUUGUUACUUUUUUAACGGCGUUAGAUGGCAUAGGUACAUACGCAAAAAAAAAAAAAGAAGAAGAAGAAAAAAGAAGGAAAAGGAGGGUAUAUAUGCGAAAUAAGUGUUUUAUGAGGUAAUACAUGCAAAUAUUAUUUUUUGGAGGGUGUUCACGCAUAUUCCAAUAUUUAGGAUGGUACAUAUGCAAAAAAACCUUCUAAUUUCUUCAUUUUUUAUUGUUUCAUUUUUUGGUGCUUGGUUUGAAGAACUAUGGAAGCGAAGAGUUGCUGAACUAAAAAGAGAGUUGGAAAAGUUGAAUGACUCCAUCUGGUCUUUGCAAUCCAAACUUGAGAGCCUUAGUGCUGAGGGACGAAGUGACUAAUUUUGAGUAUGAUACCAGCUGGACAGAGUCACCCUUACCCACUGAAAAUGCAGGUGAUAUUGAUUCUUCCAUCAAGGAUGUGUCCAAAGAUGGAUCAUCUGCUGGUAGUUUUACUCUGGAGACAGGCAGAGAUUGGUCAUCAGGAUUCCAGAUCUUAACAUCAGUUUCAUGUCAAGAGAAUGAUUUGAAGAUGGAAUUUGCUGUGGACUCCAGAAAGGACAAAGCUAGGAUUAGAAACUUGGAGACUGGGCUUGGAAUCUUCAAAAAGAAAAGGGGAAAUAGGGUGAGAAGGGGCUUUACCAUACUCAAAGAAGGGAGAGUGGGAAGCAGUGAUACGGUGAGUUCGGCUGCAUACAUUGAUAGAGAGGGGUCAUCUCAAGGUCUUAAGCAAGAUGUUCUACCCUUACAUGAGGGAUCUGGUGCAUGUGCAAGAGGUGAAGAUACCAAUGUUGAUCUCACAGGAAUUAUGAACUCAAUUAUGGAGCACAAGGGUGUUUCAAUCUUUCGUCGCUGGCUUGAAAGCCAGAAGAGAGCCAGAUACAAGAAAAUGAUCCGCCAAGAUGUUGACUUCCGGACCAUAAGCUCAAGGAUUAGCGGUGGCUCAGUCUCUUCAGCCAAGGAGCUGUAUAGAGACUUGCUUCUACUCUCCAACAAUGCUGUUGUCUUCUAUCCAAAGAACUCACCAGAGCACAAAUCUGCACUAAACCUUCGAGAUCUUGUGAGCAAAGCACUACAGCAGAGUGCUAAAAAUCCUGCUCAGUGUUUGGGUGACCAUGGUGUUACACAUCCUGUUCUGAUGGGCAAAUCAAAAAGAUUUCAAAGCAUGCAUCUAUGCAAUCUCAACACCAAGGGAAAUUCAGUGGUUUCUGGUGGAGGAGCUGGAACCCCGAAAAUGGAGAAUGGCAAGAAAGAUUCUCAUGCAGAUGUACCAGAAGGGACUGUGGCUAGGAAGAGAAGUAUUGGCGGAGCAGUGAUGGGUGGCCGAAGAAGUGGCAGGAGAGGACAUGAGAGCAAUAACAAAGGAUGGAAAAGAGCUCAAAGAAGGUGAUAUUGUUGGGGGGCAGGAUACUUUUGUUUUUUUGGGUUCCUUCAAAGGGGUUUUCUAACGUAUUCCUUUUUACUUCUGUCAAAGAAUUUGCGAAUUCCUUUCGUUGUUUUGGAUCUAACUGGCAAAUUGUAUAGUCUAACCAUAUGGUGAAGAAGGAACUGAUGUUUCUCUUGUUUACAAGGUAAGCUAAUUGAAAUAGAUAUAUGGUAAUUCAUCUUCCCAAGAUGUUAUACAAGCUUUGCCUUUGCAUGUAAAACUUCCCUUAUUUUUCUCACCUUAAAGAUGUUACCAAUUCAUUGUGUUGCCAUGCAACUACAAGACAAUAGUUUCUCCCAAUUGCUGAGGUCGGGUCAUGGUACCCAUCAUAUUGCCACUGAAGCUGCUUUCACACUGCUCCACGCAUAGGCAGGUUCUCUUAUAUAUGUGUGUGUGUGUGUGUGUACCCGGUGUGGAGGAUCUGUUAACGCAUAACUUCUUGCAUUUUAUUGUGGAAGUAUAUUACAUUACAUAAACAUGGCUCUGCUAUACUUGAGGAAGCAUGUCCCUUUUUGGCUCUCUAGGGCUUGUAAACUCAAGAUAUAAUCAAGGUAUGUAGUGUGAGUUGUAGCAUUAAUCUAUCUGUUUUAUUCCAGAUGGACGUUUGUGGAGCUCUUGGAGACCUCUUCAGCAAGCAGCCUACCUCCUCUUUGCCAUAAUUGCUUUGUUACUGUUAAUGCAUUCUUUUCUACAGAUCUUUGAAGUCACAAUCCCCAUCCUUGAGCAGGAAUUUUAAGACACUACCUGAGAGAUGAAACAGGACGCUUGUAUAUUUGCCAGGGAAGUCUGUUGUUGCAUGGACUCCUGCAUAGUGAAAACUGAGAAGCUGAAUGCUGGUCAGGAGCCGUUCAGGAGAGCCCAAUAUGAAUGCAAGAAAUACUCCAUGCACUUUGAAGUAUUUCCCUUGGCCUAAUGUUUUCUUGGUUUGUGCUCCAUUGAUGUUUAUGAUAUCUUGUUGCCUUUUUGUUUAAUAUUCAUUUUAAGUUGAUAUGGAGAGGAUGCUAUCAACGUAGACAAUAGCCAAGCAUGAAGGGGAAUAAUCGUCUUCAUUGGAGAGUUAAAAAAAAAGAAAAAAGGGGAAAUAUGGGAGUGUCUCAGCUACCUGCUGAGAUCAAUGCACUGUUGUAAUGAGACUAAUGUCAUUGUCAACUCAACUUUCUUGUUCACAUGAUUUGUACUCAGAUUGUUGGAGUAAAUACAGAGAUCAUGCCCACA